ACGGAGGAUCCGAGCGUUAUCCGGAUUUAUUGGGUUUAAAGGGUGCGCAGGCGGUUUUGUAAGACAGGUGUGAAAUCCCCGGGCUCAACCUGGGAAUGGCGCUUGUGACUGCAAGACUGGAGUACGGCAGAGGGGGGUGGAAUUCCACGUGUAGCAGUGAAAUGCGUAGAGAUGUGGAGGAACACCGAUGGCGAAGGCAGCCCCCUGGGCCAGUACUGACGCUCAUGCACGAAAGCGUGGGUAGCAAACA
rnacentral:rRNA from 1 species